CGGUAAUUCCAGCUCCAAUAGCGUAUACUAAAGUUGUUGCAGUUAAAAGGCUCGUAGUUGGAUUUCUGCGGGGACGGAGCGGCCGGACGCAACUUGCGUCUCGAGCUAGCGCUUUCCCCGCAUCCUGCCGCGAACCGUGCUACCAUUAGCUUGGUGGCGCUGGGGAUCGGCUCGAUUACUUUGAGAAAAAUAGAGUGUUCAAAGCAGGCCACACGCCUUGAAUAAGUUAGCAUGGAAUAAUGACUAAGGACUUCGGUUCUAUUUUGUUGGUGUUCGGGACUGAAGUAAUGAUUGAUAGGGACAGUUGGGGCGGUCUGUAUUCCAAAGCGAGAGGUGAAAUUCUUAGACCUUCAGAAGACAAACAGCUGCGAAAGCGUUCCGCAAGGAUGUUCCCUUUGAUCAAGAACGAAAGUUGGGGGAUCGAAGACGAUCAGAUACCGUCGUAGUCUCAACUAUAAACUAUACCAGCCAGGGAUCGGUCAACGUUUAAUCAUUCGACUUGAUCGGCACCUUAUGAGAAAUCAAAGCAUCUGGGUUCCGGGGGGAGUAUGGUCGCAAGGCUGAAACUUAAAGGAAUUGACGGAAGGGCACCACCAGCCGUGGAGCCUGUGGCUUAAUUUGACUCAACACGGGAGAACUUACCAGGUCCAGACAUAGUAAGGAUUGACAGAUUGAUAGCUCUUUCUUGAUUCUGUGGGUGGUGGUGCAUGGCCGUUCUUAGUUGGUGGAGUGAUUUGUCUGGUUAAUUCCGUUAACGAACGAGACCCCAGCCUGCUAAAUAGCGCGGCUGAGCUUUGCUCGGUGCGAGCUUCUUAGAGGGACUAUGAUGCGCGAUAGCACAUGGAAGUUUGGGGCAAUAACAGGUCUGUGAUGCCCUUAGAUGUUCUGGGCCGCACACGGGCUACACUGGCGCCUGCAACGAGCAUAUCAGCUGGCCCGAGAGGGUCUUGGCUAAUCUUUUGAACCGGCGCCGUGCUUGGGAUUGACCAUUGCAAUUGUUGGUCAUGCAACGAGGAAUGCCUUGUAAACGCGAGUCAUCAGCUCGCAUUGAAUACGUCCCUGCCCUUUGUACACACCGCCCGUCGCUCCUACCGAUGAAUGUUCCGAUGAAAUUUUCGGAGAGCGCCAGAGAACGGGGCUCUGCCUUGCAGAUCUGGAGGCUCAAAGUCACUUAAAUCUGAACAUUUCGAGGAAGGAGAAGUCGUAACAAGGUAACC
rnacentral:rRNA from 1 species